GCAGUAGUUAAUAUAUCAGUCCUGAGGAGGGGAUCUUGUAGUGUAGUAUUAAUGUGCAUCAGAGGUUGAGGUUCAAGCCCCAGAAAUGUGUUGUUGUGGGGAAUAUCACCAGCCUCAGAGUCGGGGUUCAACGACAGAGUUUAUUGCACAAGGAAAUACCGGAGCUCCGGGGAGAGAAGGACACCAUCAGCAGAGUGGUCAGCUGCAAGUCUUCUCUUGACCUGGACACAUGUCAAGAUACUUUUAUACGUUUUGUAAUAAUAGGUACAAAUUGGUUCUUACCCCAGCUUUGACCAGGACACCAGUAACAAAAACCCUGCUCGCAGCGCCACUUGUUGUGGGGAAAAUCACCAGCUUCGGAGUCAGAGUCUGGGUUCAAUGGCAGAGAUUACUGAACAAGGAAAUACCGGAGCUCCGGGGAGAGAAGGACACCAACAGCAGAGUGGUCAGCUGCGAUUCUUCUCUCAACCCGGACACAUGUCAAGAUAUGUUUUAUAUGUUUUGUAAUAAUAGAAAAUACUUCACCUUGAGAUAUCUCUUCA